rnacentral:lncRNA from 1 species
GGCAUAUGGAGGUUCCCAGGCUAGGGGUCUAAUCAGAACUGUAGCUGCCAGCCUGCGCCACAGCCACAGCAACACCAGAUUCGAGCCAUGUCUGCAACCUACACCACAGCUCAUGGCAACGCCAGAUCCUUAACCCACUGAGCAAGGCCAGGGAUCGAACCUGCAACCUCAUGGUUCCUGGUCGGAUCUGUUUCUGCUUCUUGCUGGAUCAAAGUCAAGAUGUUGGCCUGGCUGAUUUUUCUGGAGACUCUGAGGGAAGAAUCGUUUUUUGCCUUUUUCAGUUUGUAGAGGCUACCUGCUGGUGGUUCUUUGUGUCAUUCCGACCUCUUGCUUCCAUCCUCACCAUCUCCUGUUAGGUGUUUGACCUUCUUUUCUCCCUCAUUAGGAACUUUGUGGGAGUUCCCUGGUGGCUUAGUGGUUAAGAUUAUGUGUUUUCGCUGCAGAGGCCUGGGUUCAAUCCCUGGGCUGGGAACUGAGAUAGCACAUCAAGCUGUUGCACCUCAUGGCCAAAAAAAGAAAGGUAGCUUGUGGAGUUCCUGUCGUGGCUCAUCAGUAAGGAAGCUGACUAGGAUCCAUGUAGAUGCGGGCUCGAUCCCUGGCAUUGCUUAGUGGGUUAAGGAUGUUGUGAUCUGUGGUGUAAUUCGCAGACACAGCUCGGAACUGGCCUUGCUGUGGCUGUGGUGUAGGCUGGCGGCUGCAGCUCCGAUUUGACCACUAGCCUGGAAAUUUCCAUAUGCCGCGGGUAUAGCCCGAAAAAAAAAAAAAAAAAACUUUGUGAUUAUAUGUUGCCUACCUGUAAUCUAGGAUAAUCUCCAUCUCAAAACUCUCAACCACAACUGCAAAAUUCCUCUUACUUUAUAAAGUAACACAGUGAAACCUUUCAUGGAUUAGGAUGUGGGUAUUUGGUGGGGGACAUUAUCCUGCCUCCCCCAGUGACAUUUUGUUUGCUUUAUUUUGCUUUGUAGCUAUUUUUCUUGUUAUCGUGUACAGCAUUCUUUUGAAUAGUUCCUGAAUCAGGUUAUAAAUUCCUCAAAGAUAACAACUCUUCCAUGUUUUAUACAUUUUCCUACUUCAUUAUGUCAUGUGUUUAAAGUAAAAACAAUGCUCAUAAUAGGCACUCAGUAAAGCCCGCUGAUUUAAAUACUCUUAAAUUACAGUCUUUAGAAGGAGGCAUGGAUCUGGUCUACAUAUGUUCCAGGAAAAACAAAAUCUUACCUUUGACUUUUGAUUGUACAAACAGUUAGGCUAUGCAAGAAGUAAUGUAGAGUGAAAGCAUUAGAAUGUAACUUAUUUUCCAGAAUUCUCACUAUUGAACUGUAGACAGGUUUGGGGACAUUCAAUUAAGUGUCAAAAUUUACCAGAAAUCCAUGGGAUUAUUCCCGCCACACACUUCCCUCUGAUAAAAAGAGAACUAUUGCAAUUCUCGUGAGUGGAUGUGAAAACUUACACUGUAUGCUUUAACCUGCUCUCCCCAUAAACUUUGGAGGGAGAAUUGUUAUACAAUGGAAUUUGUUUCUGAUUUUUGCUACAAUAGUUGAUAAGCAGUGUACUGUGACUGAAAAUGAAUAUAGACAUAAAAUAAUUCUCUCUCAGACAUAGGUACAUCUCCAAUGCAUGAUUGUUCAUCACUUACGAGUUGAAUUAGGAAAUUAUGGAGCCCAAUAUGUAAUUUUAAGGUAUUCAAUUUACAUUAAUAGAUAUCUAAAUGAACCAUAGAAUUAGCUUUAAAACAUAUAGCUCAAUUCACAUUCAUAAUUUUAAAAGUUAGUGAUGCUAUACUAUAUGGUAGUCUUGCAUAUAGUAUUUUGGUACAUAAUUAAGAUGAAAAGAAUAUCUUUGUCCUUAGCCCUCAAAAUUUGCAGUUGACCUUUUGUUCUUGACCUGUGCUGCCUUCAUAUUCCUGGCCCCACCCUGAGUUUUCUUCUCUAGAAUAGUAGAAUCUGAACUGUAAAGUUGGAAAGGACCCUAGAGGCCAUCUUUUCAAUGUGGAUGUUUUACACCUGAGUCCAUAUUUCUAGAGACAUUAAUUGACUUGCUUCAGAUCACACAGCUACUGGCAGAGCUUUAUUAGAAAUGCAGUUCUCCAAUACUCUGUAAUGAUUUCCCUGCCCACGCCCCCACCCCAAUUAGGAAAGAUAGUUUAAGAGUAUAGGAAAAUAAGAGAAGUCUAGUAGUAAAGCAUUAGAGGGUGAGAGGAUUUUGGAAAUACUGUGGCUUAAGGGAAACAUGGUUCUCAGUCUCCUACUUUCCAAAGCUUAUUGUCUGUUAGAGCAGGAGGAGGAAGAUGUGUCUGCUUUGGGGGUGAAAAUAAUGCCGAGGUAAAGGUUUAAUUCUGAUAGAAGGCUGGUGGGGAACUUCUCUCCACUAUGUGAAAGGAGCUCCUGAGAACUAAGGUCACAGGACCUGGAGAAAAAGAUAAUAAUAAAGGAAUGAGUAAAGAGAUACAAGGAAAUU